rnacentral:rRNA from 1 species
GACGAACGCUGGCGGCGUGCUUAACACAUGCAAGUCGAACGAAGUGGCGAACGGGUGAGUAACGCGUAAUCAACCUGCCCUUCAGAGGGGGACAACAGUUGGAAACGACUGCUAAUACCGCAUACUGAAGGAGGAGAUUGCGUCUGAUUAGCUAGUUGGGGGGGUAACCGCCCACCAAGGCGAUGAACAGGAGCCGGUAUGAGAGUAGUAACGGCUAAAUUGGGACUUGUACACGGCCCAGACCCCUACGGGAGGCAGCAGUUGGGAAUCUUCCGAAAUGGACGAAAGUCUGACGGAGCAACGCCGCGUGAGUGAUGACGGCCUUCGGGUUGUAAAGCUCUGUUAAUCGGGACGCGGUACCGGAAUAGAAAGCCACGGCUAACUACGUGCCAGCAGCCGCGGUAAUAC